rnacentral:rRNA from 1 species
GACGUAGGGGGCGAGCGUUGUCCGGAUUUAUUGGGCGUAAAGAGCUCGUAGGCGGCUCAGCAAGUCAGGUGUGAAACCUCCAGGCUUAACCUGGAGACGCCACCUGAUACUGCUGUGGCUGGAGUCCGGUAGGGGAGCAGGGAAUAUCCGGUGUAGUGGUGGAAUGCGUAGAUAUCGGGAGGAACACCAGUGGCGAAGGCGGUUGCCUGGAGCUUUGCUGACGCUGAUGCGCGAAAGCGUGGGGAGCGAUCCGG